CAUGUACUGCAAGUAGAUUUCCCCCAAUUAUUACCGACACAUUAUUUCUUUUAAAUAAUCUACUUGCCGUAGAUCAAACAUGAACCGGAUGUGCGCUUUUAUUGUGAAAACAACCCGUAAAUGGGGGGAACCGUAAUGUCUUGAGCUGUGUUAUGCUGAGAAACGCGCGCCCUGUCGCGGGAGCGCGCAUCGCUCUAAACUCUCCAUAUUGAUGAGAAAACGGACUGAAAUCUGACCGAAGAGGAAACUUUUAAAACUUUUAUUCGUAACAUGAUCACGUUUCUUAACCAUGUAAGCAAUAAAACGGUGGGUUUUAUUUCGCGGAUUAAUUGAAAUAAAUCCGGUUUUUAUAGCUUUAUUGAGACACAUGAGUCAAACGUUUUUCAGUGUCUGAUGAAAAUGUUCUCCGCAGACGGUUUGAAUUUCCCCGAUUUUUCUUUUAACACAAUAAUAGCUUAAAGCAUUACAAAGCAGAAUCCCGUUAUGUAGAACAUUUUAUAUAAUCUUUAACUGUCUAGUCCAGUGGUCCCCAAACUACGGCCCGCGGGCCGCAUCCGGCCCGCCUCCACAUUUGGUCCGGCCCCUGAACAAUACCAGAGGGUAUUUUCAUAUAUGCUAUGCUUACUUCUACAAAAUAUAUUUGUAUUUGAUAAUAAAGUUGGACUUUUGCAAUAAAAUGUUCCUUAGUUAUGAACUUUUUUCAUUAUUAACUAUUAGUUAGUAACUAUUUCAUACACGUAUAUAAUGUGACAUUCUGUUCCACCCUUCUGGGGUCUGUGCCCCUAUCUGGCAACCCGCAGCAAAAAAUCGUAACCCCGCCCCUCUCAAAGAGAGAACGGAAUAAUGGCAAAAAGAUUAGGUAAGAGAAAAAUUGAUUCAGAAUGCAGGGCAUUUAACUUGCAGUGGAAAAACAUUUUUUUUUUGUUCAA